rnacentral:lncRNA from 1 species
UUACAGGAGCUUUGCUGAAUUUUUCAUAUUUUUUGGAGAAGGUUGACUAUUUACUCUAUUUCCUUUUUAAUUAAACAUGCUUAGCAAGGAAGAUGUUUUUCGUUCUGAUUUGCACAACAAUUUAUAUUUUUCCUGCAAAUUUCACAGCAAAACAAAAUUGACCCAACUAGUUUCAUAUUUUUCUGAGCUCUGGAUCCAAACUUAUGUAAAAAGGAAGAUUUAUACCUAGAUUUCCAAUUUAAAGCCAAAACAGUGACUUACAGUGCUAGACCAGAGCCCUAACCAUUUUUCUGAGCUUCUACACAUAGAAACAAGCAUCACAGAGUUGGUUUCACAUUCUUCCCCAC